UCUAUGUGGUUAUUAUGCUCUCUCUUUUCUCUUUUCUGUGUUUUAUAUAUGUAUAAUAUAGAUUAGUGUGUGUGUGUGUGUGUGUGUGUGUGUGUGUGUGUGUAUAGUCAAUUGAAUGUUAUGCUGUUUGUUUUUGUAAAUAGUAUUGAGCACUCACUUGUUAUAAUAUAAAAUGUAUAGUUCUUUUUUCAGGUACGUUACAUUAAAUUUGCAAGUUGGAUUAGGGUUCUUCCAUGACUUUUUCUACAGAUUUUUUUAUGUGCUGGAUGUUUUGACUUAAGCACAGUUUAUUGAUGGGUUUAUAUAAUAAUACCUUCCUCUGCCUUUGACUGGCUGACUGUCCGGCCUUCAUUUCCAGCCUUUGGUGUCACUCCUGGUCUGUCCCUUGUUGGUGUACCCCUAUACUGGCUUAUCCUCCUGGGCUGUCGAGCCAAUGUCUUCCCUUCCACACCGCCUUCCUGACUGGACAUGCAGAAGGGUCCUGAUCCUAAGCUGACUCACCUGGAUCCAUGCUGUCCGGCCUUCAUUUCCAGCCUUUGGUGUCACUCCUGGUCUGUCCCUUGUUGUAUCUGGAAAAGGAGAGCCGCAACUUUACAAAGAUGUGUUUACCGUGGCCAUUCUAUUGCUGGACUGUCCCCUUCAAAUACACAUUUUACUGCAUUAAUAGUUAUCAGCUGUCUACUUUGAUAAAGAAAUAAAACAGUUUUGGGAAUCCAAAGGGAUUUUUAUUUGCCAAAAACCUUUUCAAAAUACUUUUUUUUUUUAAUGCAAACUA